GACGAACGCUGGCGGCGUGCCUAAUACAUGCAAGUCGAACGCAGUGGGGACGGGUGAGUAACACGUGGGUAACCUCCCAUCAGAGGGGAUAACACUUGGAAACAGGUGCUAAACCGAUACUGAUGGAUGGACCCGCGGUGCAUUAGCUAGUUGGUGAGGUAACUGCUCAACAAGGCCACGCUGCAUAGCCGACCUGAGAGGGUGAUCGGCCACACUGGGACUUAGACACGGCCAAGACUCCUACGGUGGGCAGCAGUAGGGAAUCUUGGGCAAUGGACGAAAGGUGGACCGAGAAACGCGGCGUGAGUGAAGAAGGUGUUCGGAUCGUAGAACGCUGUUGUUAGAGAAGCGGUAUCUAACCAGAAAGCCACGGCUAACUACGUGCCAGCAGCCGCGGUAAUAC
rnacentral:rRNA from 1 species